AGAAAAAUACAUAGAUGAGACUCGCAGAGUGAGUCCUAAACCAAAGCAAUGUUGAUCUUUAGUUUCUAACAAAUAUAAACAUUUUUAGCUUCCAACUGGAAAGAGGUACACAAACCCAUCAGUUCAUUACAAGUAAAAAUCAACGUUACAAGCAAGAGUGCAAUUGCCAACACUUUCUAGAUUCACAUAUGUUUACAACGAUAGUUCACACAUACAUUCACUCAUAAUAAUACCACACAUACAAAAGUUUAUGUAAUAACUAGUCCUUCGAUUAAUAUGUACUAAUUAGGACGACCCUUUUGCAUUCCCUUCCACGCUACCUUUUGCCUUGUAGAUUCACUGUAACAAUUCAAGCAAGCAAACCAAUAGUUAGGAAUGCACAAACGAAACUACUACUUGAGAAGAUAACGGAAAUGCAUGAAUUUAAUAUUGAUGAACUUACAGAGAUGUAUAGACAAAAAAAAGUAACAGUUUCCAAAUCUAGUCAAUGUCUCAUUAGUCCCACCAUCUUAAACUCAUUUUUUAGUACACCAUACAAGGUUAAUAAUAUCCAAUAUCUCCAAUAGGCUGCUCUUGGAUUACGUUUGUCUAUUACACUGUUCUUGGACUUGAAGAUUAUGAAAGCAAACUUUACAAUGUGUGAAAACGAUGUCAAAAUUUCAAUGAAUAGAGGCUGCAAAAUUUUACAUUGUUCUCUCUAAAUUUUGCACAGAACAACCAUCAUAUUAUCAGACAAAUUAUCAAACAGACUCAAAUACACUAAAUUGUAAUCCGUAC
rnacentral:lncRNA from 1 species